CUUGGAGUAGUUUCUUUGGCGGCCGUUGAGGAGAGGCGGCGAGACGACUCGCCGGCGCCGGCUGGCUGGAUCGUUUAGUUGGAGCAAAUCUGAAUCGGCCGGCUUGCGACUCCCUCCAUCGACCAAGAAGAUGAGUUUCUGAGUCGAUGCUUCGCAGGACCUGCAACUGCCCGCUAGUGGUAGCGGAACCGACGCGAGCACCCUGAGCGCACAAGGCGGCGACGGCCACGACACCACCAGAGUGGUCAUCAAGCAGAGCGUGGCGGCCGUGCCGGUCCGGCAGAGGUGGCAGACCGGCCUGUUCGACUGCGAAGACGACGGCUGCGACGCAUUUUGCUGGAGCGCCUGGUUCCCCUGCGCGGCGUUCGCCUGCAUCGCCGACAUCGUCGACCAGGGCUCGGAGGGCCGGUGCGUGCACUUCACCUGCUACCUCGGCGCGGCCUACUUCGGACUCUGGUGGGUGUACGCGGGGUGGUACCGGCGCAAGCUGCGGGAGAAGUACGACCUGCCGGAGACGCCGCUGCCGGACUGCCUCAUCCACCUGCUCUGCCACUGGUGCGCCCUCGCCCAGGAGUACAGGGAGCUCACCGGGCGGGGAUUCGACGUCGACCAGGGCUGGGAGGGCCGGCCGCGGCCGGCGACUGCACCGGCGGCGACCGCCGUGCCCCGGGUCCAGGUGCCGAUGACCAGGCGGCUAUGAGCGAUCGAUCUAGCGCAGCGUGGGGCCGUCGAACGAGCUAACCAGCACGGUUAACUCCGGUCUCCCAGCUUAGUGAAGUACCCCACUGCCUUAAUAAUAACCCAGCGUGGCCGUGCGCGUGUGUGCGCAGCUUUUGGUUUGCUCUGUCUGGUAUCUUCGCUAGUGGCGCGUAGUACUGCGUGAUGUGGCGAUUUGUACUUGGGCUGCAAUGCCUGUCACUUAAUUAUGCGUGGUUAGUGUACCCAUAAUGAGAACGCAGU